rnacentral:rRNA from 1 species
UACGUAGGGUGCAAGCGUUGUCCGGAAUUAUUGGGCGUAAAGAGCUCGUAGGCGGUUUGUCGCGUCGGCUGUGAAAACCUGGGGCUCAACCCCGGGCCUGCAGCCGAUACGGGCAAACUAGAAUUCGGUAGGGGAGACGUGGAAUUCCUGGUGUAGCGGUGAAAUGCGCAGAUAUCAGGAGGAACACCGGUGGCGAAGGCGGGUCUCUGGGCCGAUAUUGACGCUGAGGAGCGAAAGCGUGGGGAGCGAACAGG